rnacentral:tRNA from 1 species
GGCCCGGUGGCGGAACGGCGACGCAAAGGUCGUGCAAGAUCUUCAACCUGGUUCGACUCCAGGCUGGGCCUCCA